rnacentral:rRNA from 1 species
UGGGGAAUUUUGGACAAUGGGGGGAAACCCUGAUCCAGCCAUCCCGCGUGUGCGAUGAAGGCCUUCGGGUUGUAAAGCACUUUUGGCAGGAAAGAAACGUCGCGGGUUAAUACCCCGCGAAACUGACGGUACCUGCAGAAUAAGCACCGGCUAACUACGUGCCAGCAGCCGCGGUAAUACGUAGGGUGCAAGCGUUAAUCGGAAUUACUGGGCGUAAAGCGUGCGCAGGCGGUUCGGAAAGAAAGAUGUGAAAUCCCAGAGCUUAACUUUGGAACUGCAUUUUUAACUACCGGGCUAGAGUGUGUCAGAGGGAGGUGGAAUUCCGCGUGUAGCAGUGAAAUGCGUAGAUAUGCGGAGGAACACCGAUGGCGAAGGCAGCCUCCUGGGAUAACACUGACGCUCAUGCACGAAAGCGUGGGGAGCAAACAGGAUUAGAUACCCUGGUAGUCCACGCCCUAAACGAUGUCAACUAGCUGUUGGGGGCCUUCGGGCCUUGGUAGCGCAGCUAACGCGUGAAGUUGACCGCCUGGGGAGUACGGUCGCAAGAUUAAAACUCAAAUGAAUUGACGGGGGUCAUAGCUGUUUUCCU